GGCCCAUAGGUUGGGUCAUGACAUUUUCCAUGGAAGGUACAUCAAAUUAGUUUUGAGUACAAAACUUAAAUUAUAUAUUUUAGUACUUCUUAAUCCCUUGAGUUUUCAAUUUGCAGAGAAAUUUGGCAACAAACAAAAGCAACAUUCCAAGAUAAGUUUGGUGAUGUGCAUACAAGACUAAUGAAGAAAAAUUAUGAAAUUGUACCUCAGUGGUGGUUUUAUACAGUGUUGAUUAUAAUAGUCGGACUUGCCAUGCUUGCUUGUGAAGGCUUUGGAAGACAGUUGCAGCUUCCUUACUGGGGUGUCCUGUUAUCAAUUAGCUUGGCUCUCUUCUUUACUCUUCCCAUUGGCGUUAUCCAAGCAACUACAAACCAGCAACCAGGACUGAAUGUUAUCACUGAACUUACAAUUGGCUACAUGUAUCCGGGCAGACCACUAGCAAACGUGGCUUUUAAGACGUAUGGUUAUAUUAGCAUGUCACAGGCACUUAUGUUCCUUUCAGACUUCAAGCUGGGGCAUUACAUGAAAAUUCCACCUAAAUCCAUGUUUAUUGUGCAGCUAGUAGGAACUGUAAUUGCAUCCUCAGCUUAUUACGGCACGGCAUGGUGGCUUCUCAGUUCAAUAAAAAACAUCUGUGAUCCUGAAAAGUUGCCAACAGGAAGCCCCUGGACAUGUCCAGGAGAUGAUGUUUUCUACAAUGCCUCCAUCAUUUGGGGUGUUGUUGGGCCAUUAAGAAUGUUUGGCCGUCUUGGUCUAUACUCUAAGAUGAACUAUUUCUUUCUCAUUGGCCUCCUGGCGCCAAUGGCAGUGUGGCUUGUGUCACGCAUGUUCCCAGAGAAGAAGUGGAUAAAGCUCAUUAACAUACCUGUAAUCUUAAGCGGUACAGGGGCGAUGCCACCAGCUAGAGCUGUGAACUAUAUAAGCUGGUUUACUGUAGGAAUUUUUUUUAACUUCGUGGUGUAUAAGAGAUACAGGAUGUGGUGGGCUAGGCACAACUACAUUCUUUCAGCUGGGCUAGAUGCUGGGGUUGCUUUCCUGGCCAUUCUUUGCUAUUUCACUUUACAACUCAAGAAUAUAAAUGGACCAGAAUGGUGGGGUUUGCAGUUAGACGAUCACUGUCCUCUGGCCAAGUGUCCUACUGCUCCUGGCGUAGUAGCUGAGGGAUGUCCUGUUUUGUGAUACCAACAAGCAUCGUUUUGAGCUCUAAAUACUCCAUCACUGCCAUUCUUCAACGAAGAGAGAAUCAUAUGUACAUGUAUAUGGUAGUGAAGUGUGACUUCCGUUUGCAUAGUUUACCUUCUCUUUGCAUAAUUUAAACUUAAAGCCGAAGGCAUCACAACUAUUUGAUUAUAUUAGUUGCAACGCAAGAAUUCUAAAUUGUUGUCUGAGAGGUUAUAU
rnacentral:misc_RNA from 1 species